rnacentral:rRNA from 1 species
GACGAACGCUGGCGGCGUGCUUAACACAUGCAAGUCGAACGAUGAACCCGGAGCUUGCUCCGGUGGAUUAGUGGCGAACGGGUGAGUAACACGUGAGUAACCUGCCCUUGACUCUGGGAUAACUGCGGGAAACUGUAGCUAAUACCGGAUACGACCCUCGGCGGCAUCGCCAGGGGGUGGAAAGAAUUUCGGCCAAGGAUGGACUCGCGGCCUAUCAGCUAGUUGGUGAGGUAACGGCUUACCAAGGCGACGACGGGUAGCCGGCCUGAGAGGUGAACCGGCCACACUGGGACUGAGACACGGCCCAGACUCCUACGGGAGGCAGCAGUGGGGAAUAUUGCACAAUGGGCGAAAGCCUGAUGCAGCAACGCCGCGUGAGGGAUGAAGGCCUUCGGGUUGUAAACCUCUUUUAGCAGGGAAGAAGCGAAAGUGACGGUACCUGCAGAAAAAGCACCGGCUAACUACGUGCCAGCAGCCGCCGUAA